rnacentral:rRNA from 1 species
GACGGAGGAUGCAAGCGUUAUCCGGAAUGAUUGGGCGUAAAGCGCGUGUAGGCGGCCCGGUAAGUCCGCUGUGAAAGUCCAGGGCUCAACCCUGGGAUGCCGGUGGAUACUGUCGGGCUCGAGUCCGGAAGAGGCGAGUGGAAUUCCUGGUGUAGCGGUGAAAUGCGCAGAUAUCAGGAGGAACACCGAUGGCGAAGGCAGCUCGCUGGGACGUGACUGACGCUGAGACGCGAAAGCGUGGGGAGCAAACAGG